rnacentral:lncRNA from 1 species
ACCCGCACCCGCAACCCCUGCUGCUGCCCACUGGAAGGGCAAACUAAAGCUUGGCAUUUCACAGGUAGGCGUGAAAGUCAGCUUUAUACAGAUCAUAGACACUGACCCGGCCUUUGUCAUCCCUUAUCGCUGCUCCACCCUGUUUGUCUACAGCUGCUGGUUACACCCAAGUGUCUGUUCGUUGGUUGGUUGAUUUGGAGGUCCCUCCAGGGAGGCGAUUGAGAAGAGCCAUCCAUCCCUGCUGCAUGACUUCCAGUCCAAGAGAGAGGAGAAAGGUCCUGGUCCUGCUGGGGUCUUUCUGGGGCUGAACAGGACGACUUCACACACGUCCCAUAUGGUUCUGAAGGAUUGAGCAACACAGCAUCUAUGUUGGUGGCUGACUUAAUAACCCUUCCUUGAACUGGUUUUUCUCUUCCUAGUUUGCAUUUCCAGGCCACUGCUAUUGGUCCUUGAACUCUAUUCCCUAAUAAAAUAUUCAUAUUGAA